rnacentral:rRNA from 2 species
UUUAUGGAGAGUUUGAUCCUGGCUCAGGAUGAACGCUGGCGGCGUGCCUAAUACAUGCAAGUCGAGCGAACGGACGAGAAGCUUGCUUCUCUGAUGUUAGCGGCGGACGGGUGAGUAACACGUGGAUAACCUACCUAUAAGACUGGGAUAACUUCGGGAAACCGGAGCUAAUACCGGAUAAUAUUUUGAACCGCAUGGUUCAAAAGUGAAAGACGGUCUUGCUGU